rnacentral:rRNA from 1 species
UACGAAGGGGGCUAGCGUUGCUCGGAAUCACUGGGCGUAAAGCGCACGUAGGCGGAUUCUUAAGUCAGGGGUGAAAUCCUGGAGCUCAACUCCAGAACUGCCUUUGAUACUGAGGAUCUUGAGUUCGGGAGAGGUGAGUGGAACUGCGAGUGUAGAGGUGAAAUUCGUAGAUAUUCGCAAGAACACCAGUGGCGAAGGCGGCUCACUGGCCCGGUACUGACGCUGAGGUGCGAAAGCGUGGGGAGCAAACAGG